rnacentral:ncRNA from 2 species
AUCAACCACUAGGGGUGUCUUGUGAAGACUGAGAUUAAAGUGACACUUUAAGACCCUUGGAACCUGAUCUGGUUCAUACCAGCGUAGGGAAGUGGUGGUCAUACUUA